UAUGGCAAAUGCCUAGAUGUUCUUAUAACUCCACUCAUGUCCCAGCCGGAGCCGACAUGGAUGUCGGCUCAGAUGCAAUACAUACAAGGAUGUAUGUUUUGCAUCGCCGGCGGUGGCUUAUAAUUAUCAUCUCGGAGUUAUUAGAACAUCUUAGCAUUGAACAUC
rfam:Firmicutes bacterium CAG:882 genomic scaffold, scf370